rnacentral:rRNA from 1 species
UACGUAGGGUGCAAGCGUUGUCCGGAAUUAUUGGGCGUAAAGAGCUCGUAGGCGGUCUGUUGCGUCGGCUGUGAAAACCCGGGGCUCAACUCCGGGCCUGCAGCCGAUACGGGCAGACUAGAGUUCGGCAGGGGAGACUGGAAUUCCUGGUGUAGCGGUGAAAUGCGCAGAUAUCAGGAAGAACACCGGUGGCGAAGGCGGCUCUCUGGACCGAGACUGACGCUGAGGCGCGAAAGCGUGGGGAGCAAACAGG